GAAAUGCGAUAAGUAAUGUGAAUUGCAGAAUUCAGUGAAUCAUCGAAUCUUUGAACGCACCUUGCGCUCCUUGGUAUUCCUUGGAGCAUGCCUGUUUGAGUAUCAUGAAAUCUUCAAAGUAAAUCUUUUGUUAACUCAAUUGGUUUCUACUUUGGUAUUGGAGGUCUUUGCAGCUUCACACCUGCUCCUCUUUGUUCAUUAGCUGGAUCUCAGUGUUAUGCUUGGUUCCACUCGGCGUGAUAAGUUAUCUAUCGCUGAGGACACUGUAAAAGGUGGCCAAGGUAAAUGCAGAUGAACUGCUUCUAAUAGUCCAUUGACUUGGACAAUACUUUUAUGAUCUGAUCUCAAAUCAGGUAGGACUACCUGCUGAACUUAAGC
rnacentral:misc_RNA from 1 species